AUGGCUAAUUCCUUUUUCUUUUCCUUAUUAGUGUUCUUCCUUGCUGCUCUUAUGCUUGCUCCUCAAGGUUUCACUGAUGGUUACAAGCUUCCUCCAUCCAACAAGAAACCAAUUGACGAGAAAACAUCAACUUCUUGCACAACCGACCCUACUCGCCCGUGUUCGCCGUUUUAUGGUCGUGGUCCACCUUAUGGUAAUCAUCACCCACCCGCGGAAGAUUAA